rnacentral:rRNA from 1 species
AGCGUACACGGUGGAUGCCCUGGCAGUCAGAGGCGAUGAAGGACGUGCUAAUCUGCGAUAAGCGUCGGUAAGGUGAUAUGAACCGUUAUAACCGGCGAUUUCCGAAUGGGGAAACCCAGUGUGAUUCGUCACACUAUCAUUAACUGAAUCCAUAGGUUAAUGAGGCGAACCGGGGGAACUGAAACAUCUAAGUACCCCGAGGAAAAGAAAUCAACCGAGAUUCCCCCAGUAGCGGCGAGCGAACGGGGAGCAGCCCAGAGCCUGAAUCAGUGUGUGUGUUAGUGGAAGCGUCUGGAAAGGCGCGCGAUACAGGGUGACAGCCCCGUACACAAAAAUGCACAUACUGUGAGCUCGAUGAGUAGGGCGGGACACGUGGUAUCCUGUCUGAAUAUGGGGGGACCAUCCUCCAAGGCUAAAUACUCCUGACUGACCGAUAGUGAACCAGUACCGUGAGGGAAAGGCGAAAAGAACCCCGGCGAGGGGAGUGAAAAAGAACCUGAAACCGUGUACGUACAAGCAGUGGGAGCACAGAGCAAUCUGUGUGACUGCGUACCUUUUGUAUAAUGGGUCAGCGACUUAUAUUCUGUAGCAAGGUUAACCGAAUAGGGGAGCCGAAGGGAAACCGAGUCUUAACUGGGCGUUAAGUUGCAGGGUAUAGACCCGAAACCCGGUGAUCUAGCCAUGGGCAGGUUGAAGGUUGGGUAACACUAACUGGAGGACCGAACCGACUAAUGUUGAAAAAUUAGCGGAUGACUUGUGGCUGGGGGUGAAAGGCCAAUCAAACCGGGAGAUAGCUGGUUCUCCCCGAAAGCUAUUUAGGUAGCGCCUCGUGAAUUCAUCUCCGGGGGUAGAGCACUGUUUCGGCAAGGGGGUCAUCCCGACUUACCAACCCGAUGCAAACUGCGAAUACCGGAGAAUGUUAUCACGGGAGACACACGGCGGGUGCUAACGUCCGUCGUGAAGAGGGAAACAACCCAGACCGCCAGCUAAGGUCCCAAAGUCAUGGUUAAGUGGGAAACGAUGUGGGAAGGCCCAGACAGCCAGGAUGUUGGCUUAGAAGCAGCCAUCAUUUAAAGAAAGCGUAAUAGCUCACUGGUCGAGUCGGCCUGCGCGGAAGAUGUAACGGGGCUAAACCAUGCACCGAAGCUGCGGCAGCGACGCUGAUGCGUUGUUGGGUAGGGGAGCGUUCUGUAAGCCUGUGAAGGUGUGCUGUGAGGCAUGCUGGAGGUAUCAGAAGUGCGAAUGCUGACAUAAGUAACGAUAAAGCGGGUGAAAAGCCCGCUCGCCGGAAGACCAAGGGUUCCUGUCCAACGUUAAUCGGGGCAGGGUGAGUCGACCCCUAAGGCGAGGCCGAAAGGCGUAGUCGAUGGGAAACAGGUUAAUAUUCCUGUACUUGGUGUUACUGCGAAGGGGGGACGGAGAAGGCUAUGUUGGCCGGGCGACGGUUGUCCCGGUUUAAGCGUGUAGGCUGGUUUUCCAGGCAAAUCCGGAAAAUCAAGGCUGAGGCGUGAUGACGAGGCACUACGGUGCUGAAGCAACAAAUGCCCUGCUUCCAGGAAAAGCCUCUAAGCAUCAGGUAACAUCAAAUCGUACCCCAAACCGACACAGGUGGUCAGGUAGAGAAUACCAAGGCGCUUGAGAGAACUCGGGUGAAGGAACUAGGCAAAAUGGUGCCGUAACUUCGGGAGAAGGCACGCUGAUAUGUAGGUGAAGUCCCUCGCGGAUGGAGCUGAAAUCAGUCGAAGAUACCAGCUGGCUGCAACUGUUUAUUAAAAACACAGCACUGUGCAAACACGAAAGUGGACGUAUACGGUGUGACGCCUGCCCGGUGCCGGAAGGUUAAUUGAUGGGGUCAGCGCAAGCGAAGCUCUUGAUCGAAGCCCCGGUAAACGGCGGCCGUAACUAUAACGGUCCUAAGGUAGCGAAAUUCCUUGUCGGGUAAGUUCCGACCUGCACGAAUGGCGUAAUGAUGGCCAGGCUGUCUCCACCCGAGACUCAGUGAAAUUGAACUCGCUGUGAAGAUGCAGUGUACCCGCGGCAAGACGGAAAGACCCCGUGAACCUUUACUAUAGCUUGACACUGAACAUUGAGCCUUGAUGUGUAGGAUAGGUGGGAGGCUUUGAAGUGUGGACGCCAGUCUGCAUGGAGCCGACCUUGAAAUACCACCCUUUAAUGUUUGAUGUUCUAACGUUGACCCGUAAUCCGGGUUGCGGACAGUGUCUGGUGGGUAGUUUGACUGGGGCGGUCUCCUCCUAAAGAGUAACGGAGGAGCACGAAGGUUGGCUAAUCCUGGUCGGACAUCAGGAGGUUAGUGCAAUGGCAUAAGCCAGCUUGACUGCGAGCGUGACGGCGCGAGCAGGUGCGAAAGCAGGUCAUAGUGAUCCGGUGGUUCUGAAUGGAAGGGCCAUCGCUCAACGGAUAAAAGGUACUCCGGGGAUAACAGGCUGAUACCGCCCAAGAGUUCAUAUCGACGGCGGUGUUUGGCACCUCGAUGUCGGCUCAUCACAUCCUGGGGCUGAAGUAGGUCCCAAGGGUAUGGCUGUUCGCCAUUUAAAGUGGUACGCGAGCUGGGUUUAGAACGUCGUGAGACAGUUCGGUCCCUAUCUGCCGUGGGCGCUGGAGAACUGAGGGGGGCUGCUCCUAGUACGAGAGGACCGGAGUGGACGCAUCACUGGUGUUCGGGUUGUCAUGCCAAUGGCACUGCCCGGUAGCUAAAUGCGGAAGAGAUAAGUGCUGAAAGCAUCUAAGCACGAAACUUGCCCCGAGAUGAGUUCU